CCUACGGGUGGCAGUAGUGAGGAAUAUUGGUCAAUGGACGAGAGUCUGAACCAGCCAAGUAGCGUGAAGGAUGACUGCCCUAUGGGUUGUAAACUUCUUUUAUAUGGGAAUAAAAUGUUCCACGUGUGGGAUUUUGUAUGUACCAUAUGAAUAAGGAUCGGCUAACUCCGUGCCAGCAGCCGCGGUAAUACGGAGGAUCCGAGCGUUAUCCGGAUUUAUUGGGUUUAAAGGGAGCGUAGGUGGAUAGUUAAGUCAGUUGUGAAAGUUUGCGGCUCAACCGUAAAAUCGCAGUUGAAACUGGCAGUCUUGAGUACAGUAGAGGUGGGCGGAAUUCGUGGUGCAGCGGUGAAAUGCUUAGAUAUCACGAAGAACUCCGAUUGCGAAGGCAGUUCACUGGACUGCAACUGACACUGAGGCUCGAAAGUGUGGGUAUCAAACAGGAUUAGAUACCCCAGUAGUC
rnacentral:rRNA from 1 species